rnacentral:rRNA from 1 species
GAUGAACGCUGGCGGCGUGCUUAACACAUGCAAGUCGAACGAGAAAUGGAGACGGAAACCUUCGGGCGGAAGACUUUAUUUCGAGUGGCGGACGGGUGAGUAACGCGUGGGUAACCUGCCUCAUACAGGGGGAUAACAGUUGGAAACGACUGUUAAUACCGCAUAAGACCACAGCACCGCAUGGUGCGGGGGUAAAAACUCCGGUGGUAUGAGAUGGACCCGCGUUCGAUUAGCCAGUUGGCGGGGUAACGGCCCACCAAAGCGACGAUCGAUAGCCGAUCUGAGAGGAUGACCGGCCACAUUGGGACUGAGACACGGCCCAAACUCCUACGGGAGGCAGCAGUGGGGAAUAUUGCACAAUGGGGGAAACCCUGAUGCAGCGACGCCGCGUGAGUGAAGAAGUAUUUCGGUAUGUAAAGCUCUAUCAGCAGGGAAGAAAAUGACGGUACCUGAGGAAGAAGCCCCGGCUAACUACGUG